AGAACGAACGCUGGCGGCAUGCCUAACACAUGCAAGUCGAACGCUUGCCGAGGCUUCGGUUUCGGCAGGAGUGGCGCACGGGUGAGUAGCGCGUGGGAACCUGCCUUGGAGUGGGGGACAACCGAGGGAAACUUCGGCUGAUACCGCAUACGCCGGUUGUCUUGCAAGAGACGGCCGGGAAAGAUUUAUCGCUCCGAGAGGGGCCCGCGUCGGAUUAGGUAGUUGGCGGGGUAACGGCCCACCAAGCCUGUGAUCCGUAGCUGGUCUGAGAGGAUGAUCAGCCACACUGGGACUGAGACACGGCCCAGACUCCUACGGGAGGCAGCAGUGGGGAAUAUUGGACAAUGGGCGCAAGCCUGAUCCAGCAAUGCCGCGUGAGUGAUGAAGGCCUUCGGGUUGUAAAGCUCUUUCGCCCGCGACGAUGAUGACGGUAGCGGGAGAAGAGCCCGGCUAACUUCGUGCCAGCAGCCGCGGU
rnacentral:rRNA from 1 species